AACUUAAAGGGAAUUGACGGGGGCCCGCACAAGCGGAGGAACAUGUGGUUUAAUUCGAUGAUACGCGAGGAACCUUACCUGGGCUUAAAUGGGGAGUGACAGCUGUCGAAAGAUGGUUUUCUUCGGACACUCUUCAAGGUGCUGCAUGGUUGUCGUCAGCUCGUGCCGUGAGGUGUCGGGUUAAGUCCCAUAACGAGCGCAACCCUUACCGUUAGUUACCAUCAGGUUAAGCUGGGGACUCUAGCGGGACUGCCACCGUAAGGUGAGAGGAAGGUGGGGAUGACGUCAAAUCAGCACGGCCCUUAUGUCCAGGGCUACACACGUGUUACAAUGGCCGGUACAAAGGGCAGCUACUUCGCGAGAAGAUGCUAAUCUCGAAAGCCGGUCUCAGUUCGGAUCGAAGUCUGCAACCCGACUUCGUGAAGCUGGAUUCGCUAGUAAUCGCGCAUCAGCCAUGGCGCGGUGAAUACGUUCCCGGGCCUU
rnacentral:rRNA from 1 species